UAAUGGGUCAGCGACUUAUAUUCUGUAGCAAGGUUAACCGAAUAGGGGAGCCGAAGGGAAACCGAGUCUUAACUGGGCGUUAAGUUGCAGGGUAUAGACCCGAAACCCGGUGAUCUAGCCAUGGGCAGGUUGAAGGUUGGGUAACACUAACUGGAGGACCGAACCGACUAAUGUUGAAAAAUUAGCGGAUGACUUGUGGCUGGGGGUGAAAGGCCAAUCAAACCGGGAGAUAGCUGGUUCUCCCCGAAAGCUAUUUAGGUAGCGCCUCGUGAAUUCAUCUCCGGGGGUAGAGCACUGUUUCGGCAAGGGGGUCAUCCCGACUUACCAACCCGAUGCAAACUGCGAAUACCGGAGAAUGUUAUCACGGGAGACACACGGCGGGUGCUAACGUCCGUCGUGAAGAGGGAAACAACCCAGACCGCCAGCUAAGGUCCCAAAGUCAUGGUUAAGUGGGAAACGAUGUGGGAAGGCCCAGACAGCCAGGAUGUUGGCUUAGAAGCAGCCAUCAUUUAAAGAAAGCGUAAUAGCUCACUGGUCGAGUCGGCCUGCGCGGAAGAUGUAACGGGGCUAAACCAUGCACCGAAGCUGCGGCAGCGACGCUUAUGCGUUGUUGGGUAGGGGAGCGUUCUGUAAGCCUGUGAAGGUGUACUGUGAGGUAUGCUGGAGGUAUCAGAAGUGCGAAUGCUGACAUAAGUAACGAUAAAGCGGGUGAAAAGCCCGCUCGCCGGAAGACCAAGGGUUCCUGUCCAACGUUAAUCGGGGCAGGGUGAGUCGACCCCUAAGGCGAGGCCGAAAGGCGUAGUCGAUGGGAAACAGGUUAAUAUUCCUGUACUUGGUGUUACUGCGAAGGGGGGACGGAGAAGGCUAUGUUGGCCGGGCGACGGUUGUCCCGGUUUAAGCGUGUAGGCUGGUUUUCCAGGCAAAUCCGGAAAAUCAAGGCUGAGGCGUGAUGACGAGGCACUACGGUGCUGAAGCAACAAAUGCCCUGCUUCCAGGAAAAGCCUCUAAGCAUCAGGUAACAUCAAAUCGUACCCCAAACCGACACAGGUGGUCAGGUAGAGAAUACCAAGGCGCUUGAGAGAACUCGGGUGAAGGAACUAGGCAAAAUGGUGCCGUAACUUCGGGAGAAGG
rnacentral:rRNA from 1 species